rnacentral:rRNA from 1 species
GGGGGGGGGGGGGGGGGGGGGGGGGGGGGGGGGGUCGGGGGGGGGGGGGGGGGGGGGGGUCGUGUGGCGUGAGGGGGGGGCGGGGGGGGAACGCGUGGGUGACCUACCUAUAGGGCGUGGGUAGCUGCGGGCAGCCGGCGCGCAUCCGGGAUAAGCUCUUUCCCCGCAUUGUUCACUAGUUAACGGAGGUUGUGCGGUCCCUUCUCUAUGAUUCCCGGCGGCAUUAGCUAUUUGGUCAGGUAACGGCUUACCAAGGCAACGAUGCGUAGCCGACCUGAGAGGGUGAUCGGCCACACUGGAACUGAGACACGGUCCAGACUCCUAAGGGAGGCAGCAGUAGGGAAUCUGCCGCAAUGGGCGAAAGCCUGACGGAGCAACGCCGCGUGAGUGAUGAAGGUCUUCGGAUCGUAAAACUCUGUUAUUAGGGAAGAACAAAUGUGUAAGUAACUAUGCACGUCUUGACGGUACCUAAUCAGAAAGCCACGGCUAACUACGUG